rnacentral:rRNA from 1 species
CCUACGGGCGACAGCAGUGGGGGAUAUUGCACAAUGGGGGGAACCCUGAUGCAGCGACGCCGCGUGGGUGAAGGAGUGCUUCGGCAUGUAAAGCCCUAUCGGCAGGGAAGAAGCAAGCCGUUAUCUGACUACGAAGCCCCGGCCAACUACGUGCCAGCAGCCGCGGUAAUACGUAGGGGGCGAGCGUUAUCCGGAUUCACUGGGUGUAAAGGGAGCGUAGACGGCCAUGCAAGCCAGGGGUGAAAGCCCGGGGCCCAACCCCGGGACUGCCCUUGGAACUGUGCGGCUAGAGUGCGGGAGGGGCAGGCGGAAUUCCUGGUGUAGCGGUGAAAUGCGUAGAUAUCAGGAGGAACACCGACGGCGAAGGCGGCCUGCUGGACUGCAACUGACGUUGAGGCUCGAAAGCGUGGGGAGCGAACAGGAUUAGAUACCCCAGUAGUC